rnacentral:rRNA from 1 species
CACACCGCCCGUCACACCAUGAAAGUUGGUUGUACCAGAAGUCGCUGCGCUAACCGUAAGGAGGCAGGCGCCCAAGGUAUGGUCGAUGAUUGGGGUGAAGUCGUAAACAAGGUACC